GUGUCAGCCGCCGCGGUAAUACGUAGGGGGCAAGCGUUGUCCGGAAUCAUUGGGCGUAAAGGGUACGUAGGCGGGUCAUUAAGUUAGAAGUCAAAGGCUAUAGCUCAACUAUAGUAAGCUUCUAAAACUGGAGACCUUGAGUAAUGGAAGGGAAAGUGGAAUUCCUAGUGUAGCGGUGGAAUGCGCAGAUAUUAGGAGGAAUACCGGUGGCGAAGGCGACUUUCUGGCCAUUAACUGACGCUGAGGUACGAAAGCGUGGGUAGCAAACAGGAUUAGAAACCCGCGUAGUCC
rnacentral:rRNA from 1 species